rnacentral:rRNA from 1 species
AAUGAACGCUGGCGGCAUGCCUAACACAUGCAAGUCGAACGAAGGCUUCGGCCUUAGUGGCGCACGGGUGCGUAACGCGUGGGAAUCUGCCCUUGGGUUCGGAAUAACAGUUAGAAAUGACUGCUAAUACCGGAUGAUGUCGUAAGACCAAAGAUUUAUCGCCCAAGGAUGAGCCCGCGUAGGAUUAGCUAGUUGGUGGGGUAAAGGCCUACCAAGGCGACGAUCCUUAGCUGGUCUGAGAGGAUGAUCAGCCACACUGGGACUGAGACACGGCCCAGACCCCUACGGGAGGCAGCAGUGGGGAAUAUUGGACAAUGGGCGAAAGCCUGAUCCAGCAAUGCCGCGUGAGUGAUGAAGGCCUUAGGGUUGUAAAGCUCUUUUACCCGGGAUGAUAAUGACAGUACCGGGAGAAUAAGCUCCGGCUAACUUCGUG